CAGUGCGACACAUACAACAGAGUUAAACAUGGAGUAAAACAAACAUGCAGUCAAUAAUACAGUAGAAAAAGUCUAUAUACAGUGUGUACAAAUGAGGUAGGAUAAGGGAGGUAAGGCAAUAAAUAGGCCGUGGUGGCGAAGUAAUUACAAUAGAGCAAUUAAACACUAGAAUGGUAGAUGUGCAGAAGAUGAAUGAUGUGCAAGUAGAGAUGCUGGGGUGCAAAGGAGCAAGAUAAAUAUAUAAAUACAGUAUGGGGAUGAGGUAGUUGGAUGGACUAUGUACAGGUGCAGUGAUCUGUAAGCUGCUCUGACAGCUGGUGCUUAAAGCUAGUGAGGGAGAUAUGAGUCUCCAGCUUCAGUGAUUUUUGCAAUUCGUUCCAGUCAUUGGCAGCAGAUAACUGGAAGGAAGGGUGGCAAAAGGAAUAAUUGGCUUUGGGGGUGACCAGUGAGAUAUACCUGCUGGAGCGCGUGCUACGGGUGGGUGCUGCUAUGGUGACCAGUGAGCUGAGAUAAGGCGAGGCUUCACCUAGCAGAGACUUGUAGAUGACCUGGAGACAGCGGGUUUGGCGACGAGUAUGAAGCGAGGGCCAACCAACGAGAGCGUACAGGUCGCAGUGCCAACAUUACAGAAUGGCUGCACAAGGCUCUGAAGAAUAACAAGACCGACAGGCAGAAAGAUACAGCGCCAGAGGCUGAUUAAGAUGGGUACCACCAGACAACCAUCACAGCCAUAAUCUUCCAGAAGAAUAUUGUCACGACUUCCACCGAAGGUGGCUCCUCUCCCUGUUCGGGCGAUGCUCGGCGGUCGUCGUCGCCAGCCUACUAGCUGCCACCGAUCCAUUUUUCCUUUUCGUUUGUCUGUCUGUUUUGCUUUACACCUGUGUCCUAUUAGUUAAUUUCGGUGGGUUUAUUAACCCCGCUGCCUGCUAUUCUUUGUGGGGGAUUAUUUGCUGUUGUUGCUCUGCUAGGGGUGCAUGUUUGCGCCACAGGGUUUUUUGUUCUCACGGUCGUAUUGUACCGUUAUAGUUUAUUUAGGAGUAGAGGUUUCUCCUCCGUGUGUUACGUUUAUUUCCCUGUGUGUGGCGACUUCGUUGGGUGUGUUUCCCCACCUGUUGUUCUAAUAAAC
rnacentral:lncRNA from 1 species